rnacentral:rRNA from 1 species
AAUGAACGCUGGCGGCGUGGAUAAGACAUGCAAGUCGAACGAAGAGAUUGAGUAGCUUGCUAAUUGAUCUCUUAGUGGCGGACGGGUUAGUAACACGUGAGUUACUUGCCCCAGAGUGGGGGAUAGUCCUGGGAAACUGGGUUUAAUACCGCAUGAACCUACGGUAAAGGUGGCUUUUAGCUAUCGCUCUGGGAUAGGCUCGCGUCCUAUCAGCUAGUUGGAGAGGUAACGGCUCCCCAAGGCAACGACGGGUAGUUGGUCUGAGAGGAUGACCAGCAACACUGGGACUGAGACACGGUCCAGACACCUACGGUGGCAGCAGUCGAGAAUCAUUCACAAUGGGGGCAACCCUGAUGGUGCAACGCCGCGUGGAGGAUGAAGGCCCUAGGGUCGUAAACUCCUGUCAUCGAGGAGUAAGGCAUAGCAGAAU